UUUGGAUCCUUUAGCUGCGGUUUAACUAUUUGCUGUUGGCCAAUGUGUUAGGCUAAUGUUAUUUAGCAAUACUAUGGGCAAGAAGAUGCCAUCUUGUCUGUUUCAAAGAUUUUUCAGAAUGGGUUGUGAUUCCACACAGGACGGUCCAGAGAAUACAACAGGCUCCUGCCUUGAGGAUCCCCAGAAGUGGUUGAGGAGUUUCAACCUCCUGUGACGGUGGAAAUUACCCGCAGUCUUUAGUGAUUUCAGUGAACGGACGGUCCAGAGAAGACCACAGGGUCCUGCCUCGGGCUCCCAAGCAACUUCAGCCUCCUGUGAAAAUUGAGAGGACUAUUCAGAGAACACAACAGGCUCCUGCUUCAGGGGCAGGCAGCUUUAGCCUCCUGUGGAAAAUGCCGUAUGCUCCUGCCAAAUUAGCGAUUUGACUGACU